GCAGCAGUGGGGAAUUUUCCGCAAUGGGCGAAAGCCUGACGGAGCGACGCUGCGUGAAGGAUGACGGCCUGAGGGUUGUAAACUUCUUUUCUCGAAGAAGAAUCAAUGACGGUAUUCGAGGAAUAAGCAUCGGCUAACUCUGUGCCAGCAGCCGCGGUAAGACAGAGGAUGCAAGUGUUAUUCGGAUUGAUUGGGCGUAAAGCGUCUGUAGGCGGUUUAGAAAGUCUUUUGUGAAAUACUUCAGCUCAACUGGAGCUCCGCAAAAGAAACUUCUAGACUUGAGGGAAGUAGAGGUACAGGGAAUUUCCGGUGGAGCGGUGAAAUGCGUAGAUAUCGGAAGGAACACCAAUAUGGCGAAGGCACUGUACUGGGCUUUACCUGACGCUAAGAGACGAAAGCUAAAGGAGUGAUUAGGAUUAGAUACCCUAGUAAUUUUAGCCGUAAACGAUGGAAACUCACUGCCGAGCCGGUAUUCGGAGCGGUGGUCAAGCUAACGCGUGAAGUUUCCCGCCUGGGGAUUACGCAUGCAAAUGUGAAACUCAAAGGAAUUGACGGGGACCCGCACAAGCGGUGGAGUAUGUGGUUUAAUUCGAUGCAACGCGAAAAACCUUACCAAGGUUUGAAAUCAUUCUAAAACUCUUUGAAAGAAGAGCCUCCUUCGGGAUAGAAUGACAGGUGGUGCAUGGCUGUCGUCAGCUCGUGUUGUGAAAUGUCAAGUUAAGUCUUGUAACGAGCGCAACCCAUGUCUUUUGUUGCUGUUUACAGUGCUUAAAAGAGACUGCCGCUCUACAGCGGAGGAAGGUGUGGAUGAUGUCAAGUCAGCAUGCCCCUUAUAUCUUGGGCUACACACGUACUACAAUGGUAGGGACAAUGAGUCGCAAACCUGCGAAGGCUAGCCAAUCUCAAAAACCCUAUCUCAGUUCGGAUUGUACUCUGCAACUCGAGUGCAUGAAGGUGGAAUCGCUAGUAAUCGCUGGUCAGCAUACAGCGGUGAAUACGUUCCCGGGUCUUGUACACACUGCCCGUCACACCAUGGAAGUCGAUCCUUCCCUAAGUCGUUACUCGAACCUUUUAGGACGAGGAUGCCGAAGGCAGGGUUGGUGACUAGGGUGAAGUCGUAACAAGGUAGCCGUACUGGAAGGUGUGGCUG
rnacentral:rRNA from 1 species